CCAGCAGCCGCGGUAAUUCCAGCUCCAAUAGCGUAUAUUAAAGUUGUUGCAGUUAAAAAGCUCGUAGUUGGAUUUGUGGUUUGUGGUGGGUUCCGGGCACUUGUUGUCUGAGUAACUCGCCGCUGCCAUCCUUGGGUGGAACCUGUGUGGCAUUAGGUUGUCGUGCAGGGGAUGCCCAUCGUUUACUGUGAAAAAAUUAGAGUGUUCAAAGCAGGCUUACGCCGUUGAAUAUAUUAGCAUGGAAUAAUAAGAUAGGACUUUGUUGCUAUUUUGUUGGUUUGCGCAACGAGGUAAUGAUUAAUAGGGACAGUUGGGGGUAUUCGUAUUCCAUUGUCAGAGGUGAAAUUCUUGGAUUUUUGGAAGACGAACUACUGCGAAAGCAUUUACCAAGGAUGUUUUCAUUAAUC
rnacentral:rRNA from 1 species